ACCCUCCACAUGCCUUACCCCUCAGAUCUAAAGAUUGGUCUGAGUGGCUGAAAAAGGAGGAAAAGUAAAAGCGAAGUGGACUUGGACUCUGUAGUGGCAUACAAGUUCAUUUAAAACAUAU
ensembl:snoRNA